rnacentral:rRNA from 1 species
GAUGAACGCUGGCGGCGUGCCUAAUACAUGCAAGUCGAGCGAACGGACGAUAAGCUUGCGGCGCGGAUGUUAGCGGCGGACGGGUGAGUAACACGUGUAUACCCUACCUAUAAUACUGGUAUAACUUCGGAAAACCGGAUCUAAUACCGGAUGAUAUUUUGAACCGCAUGGGUCGAUAGUGAGAGACGGUGUUGCUGUCACGUAUAGAUGGAUCCGCGCUGCAUUAGCUGGUUGUUAAGUUAACGGCUUACCAAGGCAACGAUGCAUAGCCGACGUGAGAGACGGAUAGGCCACCUGGGAGCUGAGCCAGGGACAAGAGUCCUACGGGAGGCAGCAGUCGGCAACCUUAGGCAAUGGGCGAGAGCAUGACGGAGCAACGCCGAGUGAGUGAUGAAGAUCUUCGGAUCGUAAAAAUCUGUUAUUAGGGAAGAACAUAUGUGUACGUAGAUGUGCCGAUAGUGACGGUACCUAAUAAGAAAGCAACGGCUAACUACGUG